rnacentral:rRNA from 1 species
AGCGAACGCUGGCGGCAGGCUUAACACAUGCAAGUCGAGCGGGCGUAACAAUACGUCAGCGGCAGACGGGUGAGUAACGCGUGGGAACGUACCUUUUGGUUCGGAACAACACAGGGAAACUUGUGCUAAUACCGGAUAAGCCCUUACGGGGAAAGAUUUAUCGCCGAAAGAUCGGCCCGCGUCUGAUUAGCUAGUUGGUAGGGUAACGGCCUACCAAGGCGACGAUCAGUAGCUGGUCUGAGAGGAUGAUCAGCCACAUUGGGACUGAGACACGGCCCAAACUCCUACGGGAGGCAGCAGUGGGGAAUAUUGGACAAUGGGGGCAACCCUGAUCCAGCCAUGCCGCGUGAGUGAUGAAGGCCCUAGGGUUGUAAAGCUCUUUUGUGCGGGAAGAUAAUGACGGUACCGCAAGAAUAAGCCCCGGCUAACUUCGUGCCAGCCGCCGCCGUAA